rnacentral:rRNA from 1 species
AACGAACGCUGGCGGCAGGCCUAACACAUGCAAGUCGAGCGAGGACUUCGGUCCUAGCGGCGGACGGGUGAGUAACGCGUGGGAACGUGCCCUUUGCUUCGGAAUAGCCCUGGGAAACUGGGAGUAAUACCGGAUGAGCCCUUUGGGGGAAAGAUUUAUCGGCGAAGGAUCGGCCCGCGUUGGAUUAGGUAGUUGGUGGGGUAAUGGCCUACCAAGCCAACGAUCCAUAGCUGGUUUGAGAGGAUGAUCAGCCACACUGGGACUGAGACACGGCCCAGACUCCUACGGGAGGCAGCAGUGGGGAAUCUUAGACAAUGGGGGAAACCCUGAUCUAGCCAUGCCGCGUGAGCGAUGAAGGCCUUAGGGUUGUAAAGCUCUUUCAGCUGGGAAGAUAAUGACGGUACCAGCAGAAGAAGCCCCGGCUAACUCCGUG